AGGGUUUGAUUCUGGCUCAGGAUGAACGCUGGCGGCGUGCUUAACACAUGCAAGUCGAACGGGAAACCUUUUAUUGAAGCUUCGGCAGAUUUAGCUGGUUUCUAGUGGCGGACGGGUGAGUAACGCGUGGGUAACCUGCCUUAUACAGGGGGAUAACAGUCAGAAAUGACUGCUAAUACCGCAUAAGCGCACAGAGCUGCAUGGCUCGGUGUGAAAAACUCCGGUGGUAUAAGAUGGACCCGCGUUGGAUUAGCUAGUUGGUGAGGUAACGGCCCACCAAGGCGACGAUCCAUAGCCGGCCUGAGAGGGUGAACGGCCACAUUGGGACUGAGACACGGCCCAG
rnacentral:rRNA from 1 species